rnacentral:rRNA from 1 species
GGCGAGGUGCCUUCCGAGUUCCCUGGAACGGGACGCCAUAGAGGGUGAGAGCCCCGUCUGGUUGGAUACCGAGCCUCUGUAAAGCUCCUUCGACGAGUCGAGUAGUUUGGGAAUGCUGCUCUAAAUGGGAGGUAUAUGUCUUCUAAAGCUAAAUAUUGGCCAGAGACCGAUAGCGCACAAGUAGAGUGAUCGAAAGAUGAAAAGCACUUUGAAAAGAGGGUUAAAUAGUACGUGAAAUUGUUGAAAGGGAAGCGCUUGUGACCAGACUUGGGCCCGGUGAAUCAUCCAGCGUUCUCGCUGGUGCACUUUGCCGGGCUCAGGCCAGCAUCAGUUUGCUUCGGGGGAUAAAGGCUUUGGGAAUGUGGCUCCUCCGGGAGUGUUAUAGCCCAUUGCAUAAUACCCUGAGGCGGACUGAGGUUCGCGCCUUCGGGCAAGGAUGCUGGCGUAAUG